rnacentral:lncRNA from 1 species
UUUAACUUGAGUUGGGUUGAGAAUAAUUGUAUGUCUUGAAAAGGUUCAAGUUUGGGGUUGUAUAGGGAAAGUUGAAAGGCAAAAGAAAAGCAUUGAGCUCAAAGGUUGUGAAAGAAAAAUGCAUGAGAAAAAGAAAGGAAAAGAAGAAAAGAAAAAGCAUGUAAAGUGAGCUCAAUGUAAAAAUAAAAAGAAAAGGGAAGAAGUUGGGAAUGAGUGAUAUUGGUUCAAAAGAGAGUGGUGCUUGAACUUUG